GCUCGCAAGAGUGAAACACAAAGGAAUUGACGGGGACCCGCACAAGUAGCGGAGCAUGUGGUUUAAUUCGAAGCAACGCGAAGAACCUUACCUAAGCUUGACAUCCCAAUGACAUCUCCUUAAUCGGGGAGUUCCCUUCGGGGACAUUGGUGACAGGUGGUGCAUGGUUGUCGUCAGCUCGUGUCGUGAGAUGUUGGGUUAAGUCCCGCAACGAGCGCAACCCUUGUCUUUAGUUGCCAUCAUUAAGUUGGGCACUCUAGAGAGACUGCCAGGGAUAACCUGGAGGAAGGUGGGGAUGACGUCAAAUCAUCAUGCC
rnacentral:rRNA from 1 species